GGAAGAUGGCGGCCAAAUGAGUGAUUGAAGACACCUGAAGAGGAAUGGAGGUUGAGUCAGACUCAUUCAGCAAACAAGCUGCAUGCAAGAUCUACUCUACAACUUUCUUCAAACACACUAAAGGUACACUUCAACUGGGAGAGACAGAAAGUGAAAAAAAAUCCAGGAAUUCACAUUCUUGGUGUGUGUGUGAAGGAGAGACGUGGGUGUGGGUCCGUGGUCCAUGGUCCACUUCCUGUGUGGAAAUAGUCCACAUUCCACACUCUGAGCCUUGGUCCCAGCGGGGCCUCUGGACUCUGCCCACACCACAUAAUGUGCCCACAUCAGCAGCCCGGGGGUUCCUUCCCCCACCAUCAUCCUGCACAUUUCUUAGAUGAGUGCAAUCAUCUGGAAGUGUGUGCUGCACUUGGACCAAGUGGACAUGUUCAUGCUCAGUCUGACCUUUGACCUCACUUCUCCAGUGCGACCGAGCAAGACUCGUCUAUCUACAUGCUGGUGGGGGCGGCGGCCUUUGCAGCCAUGGCUGACAGGUGUUAAACAAGAGGACCGAGUCCAAGCAGAGCUUGAAAAGGGAAGAGCCAAACAGACCUUGAGACAUCCACACAAUACAUGACAUAAUAAAAGCAGAAGAAGAGGAGGAUGAUCUACUGGACUGCUACUCUACUCCUGCAAAGGGCGCCCAGAAAUGUGCACAAACAAGUCCAGAAAAGCCUCACUCAAGGAGGACUUUAGCUUUGUUGAGCAGUCCAGGCAAGAAGGAGACAUCCUUCUUAGGCAAGAAGGAGACAUCCUUCUUAGGCAAGAAGGAGACAUCCUUCUUAGGCAAGAAGGAGACAUCCUUCUUGCUUUCUCUCCAAGGGUGACUCUGCAAAAAUGACAUCAAUACCACCUCCUUGAAGGGUUCCAUCCAGCCAUCCAUUUUAUCUACCGCUUGUCCUGUUCGGGGUCGCGGGGGAUGCUAGAGCCUAUCUCAGCUACAUUCGGGCGGAAGGCGGGAUCGACCCUGGACAAGUCGCGACCUCACGGUACACUUCAACUGGGAGAGACAGAAUCUGAAAAAAUAAAUCCAGGAAUUCACAUUGUAGGAAUUUUAAAGAAUUUAUUUGUAAAUGAUGGUGGAAAAUAAGUAUUUGGUCAACCAUUCAAAGCUCUCACAGAUGGAAGGAGGUUUUGGCUGAAAAUCUCAGGAUACAUGGCCCCAUUCAUUCUUUCCUUAACACGGAUCAAUCGUCCUGUCCCCUUAGCAGAAAAACAGCCCCAAAGCAUGAUGUUUCCACCCCCAUGCUUCACAGUAGGAAUGGUGUUCUUGGGAUGCAACUCAAUAUUCUUCUUCCUCCAAACACCACCAGUUGAGUUUAUACCAAAAUGGAUACAUGGAUGAUACAGCAGAGGAUUGGGAGAAUGUCAUGUGGUCAGAUCAAACCAAAAUAGAACUUUUUGGUGGACUGCUAUAUAUAUAUAUAUGUCUCUUUUUUGUAGUACUUCUGUACUUUGGUAGUACUCCAGUCCACGUUGUUACAUGGUUUACUUUCACAUCAUUGUAGAAAAAGAAAUACUGGAAAGAAUGUCAGUCUUCUAAAUAAAAUAAGUUUCAAACUGUUUUUAAUAAUAAAAAAUGUGUUUUAAAAAGUCUUCUUUUUAUUCUUACACCAACAAGAAUAACAUUUUUUAUUUGCUUUGGUUGACAAAAAACAAACAAGAUGGAUUUUUGUUGUUGCUUUUUCUUUUGCAUUUUCACUGCAGGACAAGAACUCCCAACAUGAAGAUUGAAUUUGAAUAGUAAUACUUGGAAUAGUAAUAAUAAUACUAUGCUAAUGGGGAAAGUAAUAGUGUGGAGCAACUUGAGGGUUCCAGGUUCGAUCCCCGCUUCUGCCAUCUGAGUCACUGCCGAUGUGUCCUUGGGCAAGGCACCUGCUUUGCCUUCUCUUAUUAACAGUAGUCAUAGUAGUCAGUACUUGAAGGUAGAAAAUGACUACUGUGUACAAUAGAAACAAAGGAAUACUUAUUUAUGCAUGUUGAGAAUAAUACAUGAAUGAAUGCUUCAUUUCAAAGAAUAAAUAACAAUGUGUGACCAUUAAAUAUCUGAAUGUGAAUAAAUGUUGAUAUUAUGAAAUGAAAAGAGAAUGUUAUAAUUAAAUGUAUGUUUAAUUUACAUGUUGUACUUUAAAGUUACGUUACAAAUAGGUGAAUGUACUGCAAUUUAAUAAUGAGUGUUAUUUUCAGCAAGGUACUUGUGUUGUACUUUGAUGUACUCCUACUUCCAAGUGACUUUGUCAAGUACUAGUAAAG